rnacentral:rRNA from 1 species
UUCGCAAUGCCCGAAAGGGUGACGAAGCGACGCCGCGUGUGGGAAGAAGGCCUUCGGGUUGUAAACCACUGUCGGGAGUUAAGAAAUGUAGGGGUGUUAAUAGUAUCCUUACUUGACUAAGGCUCCGGAGGAAGCCACGGCUAACUCUGUGCCAGCAGCCGCGGUAAUACAGAGGCGGCAAGCGUUGUUCGGAAUUAUUGGGCGUAAAGAGCACGUAGGCGGCUGUGUAAGUCGGUUGUGAAAGCCUUCUGCUCAACGGAAGAACAGCAGCCGAUACUGCAUGGCUUGAGUGCGGGAGGGGAGAGCGGAACUUCUGGUGGAGCGGUGAAAUGCGUAGAUAUCAGAAGGAACGCCGGCGGCGAAAGCGGCUCUCUGGACCGUAACUGACGCUGAGUGUGCGAAAGCUAGGGGAGCAAACGGGAUUAGAUACCCCGGUAGUCCUAGCCGUAAACGAUGGGCACUAAGUAGAGGGGUUUU